rnacentral:rRNA from 1 species
UACGGGGGGGGCAAGCGUUGUUCGGAAUUACUGGGCGUAAAGCGCACGUAGGCGGCUUCGUAAGUUAGAGGUGAAAGCCUGGAGCUCAACUCCAGAACUGCCUUUAAGACUGUAUCGCUUGAAUCCAGGAGAGGUGAGUGGAAUUCCGAGUGUAGAGGUGAAAUUCGUAGAUAUUCGGAAGAACACCAGUGGCGAAGGCGGCUCACUGGACUGGUAUUGACGCUGAGGUGCGAAAGCGUGGGGAGCAAACAGG